rnacentral:rRNA from 1 species
AGAGUUUGAUCCUGGCUCAGGAUGAACGCUAGCGGCAGGCUUAAUACAUGCAAGUCGAGGGGCAUCAGCUUAUAGCAAUAUAGGGCUGGCGACCGGCAAACGGGUGCGGAACACGUACACAACCUUCCUUUAAGAGGGGGAUAGCCCAUAGAAAUGUGGAUUAAUACCCCGUAAGAUAGUGGGAUGGCAUCAUACUACUAUUAUAGUUACGACGCUUGAAGAUGGGUGUGCGUCUGAUUAGGUAGUUGGCGGGGUAAAGGCCCACCAAGCCUUCGAUCAGUAGCUGAUGUGAGAGCAUGAUCAGCCACACGGGCACUGAGACACGGGCCCGACUCCUACGGGAGGCAGCAGUAAGGAAUAUUGGUCAAUGGACGCAAGUCUGAACCAGCCAUGCCGCGUGAAGGAUGAAGGUCCUCUGGAUUGUAAACUUCUUUUAUAGGGGGCGAAAAAAGGGAAAUCUUUCUCACUUGACAGUACCCUAUGAAUAAGCACCGGCUAACUCCGUGCCAGCAGCCGCGGUAAU